rnacentral:rRNA from 1 species
CCUGCGGAGGAUCAUUAUUGAAAAGUGUCGGUGAUACUGCUGCUGGCCUUUUAACAAGGCAUGUGCACGUAUCUCCACUCUAUUCAUCCACCUGUGCACUUUUUGUAGGAGUUUUUAUUUUCAAGUUGGUAUACGAGUGGCCUUAGGGACAUUUGUAGAAGAUUUGGGAUUGAAAGCUUCUAUGUCUUUACAAACUAGUUAAGCAUGUUUAGAAUGUUACUUUUAUUGGGACUUGAUUGACCCUUUAAACUUGUACAACUUUCAGCAACGGAUCUCUUGGCUCUCCCAUCGAUGAAGAACGCAGCGAAAUGCGAUAAGUAAUGUGAAUUGCAGAAUUCAGUGAAUCAUCGAAUCUUUGAACGCACCUUGCGCCCUCUGGUAUUCCGGAGGGCAUGCCUGUUUGAGUGUCAUUAAUUUCUCAACUUCAUUAGUUUUUAUAACUGAUUGAAGCUUGGAUGUGGGGGUUUGCUGGCGUCUUUAGAUGUUUCGGCUCCCCUUAAAUGCAUUAGUAGGAACCCGCUUGUUGGCAUCCAUUGUGUGAUAGUUAUCUACGCUUUGGUUAGUUCAACAGCUCUAAUGAAGCAUUUACUUCAGAACGCUUAGGCGUUUCUGGUAUGGGUUUUGCAGCUUUGUGUGCUUUGCCUGCUUUUUUUAUUCAGAAUGCUUAGUCUGCUAUCUAACCGUCUAUCAUUGUAGACAAUUUCCUUUGACUUGACCUCAAAUCAGGUAGGACUACCCGCUGAACUUAAGCAUAUCAAUAAGCGGAGGAAAAGAAACUAACAAGGAUUCCCCUAGUAACUGCGAGUGAAGAGGGAAAAGCUCAAAUUUAAAAUCUGGCAGUCUUUGAUUGUCCGAGUUGUAAUUUAGAGAAGUGUUACCCGUGUUGGGCCGUGUAUAAGUCUCCUGGAAUGGAGCGUCAUAGAGGGUGAGAAUCCCGUCUUUGACACGGACUUCCAAUACAUUGUGGUAUGCUCUCGAAGAGUCGAGUUGUUUGGGAAUGCAGCUCUAAAUGGGUGGUAAAUUCCAUCUAAAGCUAAAUAUUGGGGAGAGACCGAUAGCGAACAAGUACCGUGAGGGAAAGAUGAAAAGAACUUUGGAAAGAGAGUUAAACAGUACGUGAAAUUGCUGAAAGGGAAACGCUUGAAGUCAGUCGCGUUAGUUUGGGAUCAGCCUUCCUUUUGGUUGGUGUACUUCCUUACUGAUGGGUCAGCAUCAGUUUUGAUCAGUGGAUAAAAGCUUGAGGAAUGUGGCAUCUUCGGGUGUGUUAUAGCCUCUUGUUGUAUACAUUGAUUGGGACUGAGGAACUCAGCACGCCGCAAGGCCGGGUUUUCAGCCACGUA